rnacentral:lncRNA from 1 species
ACAGUCCUAUGGAUGGAAAGUAAAGAUAUUGAGCUUUGCAUUUGGACUUAGACCUAGAGUUGUUCAAACCCUAGUUCUGCUCACUCCACGGAAAAGUGGGUUUUUUGAGGGCAGUACAAGUAGAGGAAAGUGGAGAAGCGGAUUGCAGUUUGAUUCUUAGGGGCCAAGAAUGCCACUGAAACUCCACUAAUAGGAGAUAUCGCAAGGCCAGACAGCAAGGACAGAGAGAGGGAGACAGAGCUGAGCUGAAAGUCCAAUGUAAGACAGUACGCCAAGACCCAGCAAUUCCACUGCCAGUGUAGACCACAUAAAAAGAGUUCUAUGUUACCAAAAGAUAUGUACAUGUAUAUUCCUAGCAGUACUUUUCAUUAUAGCCCAAACCUGGAAAUUAUCGAAUUAUCCAUCAAUAGUAGAAUGGACAAGUGUAUUUAUAUAAGUGUAUUCAUAUAACUUAAUACUUAAGUGAAAGAAGCCAAACCAAAAAUCACAUAUAUCAUUCCAUUCACAAAUUUCAAAAACUGGCAAAAUUUUUGUAUGGCGAUGGAAGGCAGAAUACCAGCUCCUCAGGAUAUGGGCUGGGUAAUGUUCUGCUCCCAAAUCUAAUUGUGGAUACAGGGG